UAAGAAUAUUGCAUACUACUCCUAACUUUUUAUAAAAGCUAUUAAUAUUAUAACUACUUACUAUGCAAAUAUAAAUGUGGAACUGCGUAAAGUAUAAUGAGUUCAUAUUUUUGCCAUUCGGGGGAUAUAAAAUCCACAGGACUUCUGAUGCUCUCUUCGACUGCAUGCUCAAGGGAACUCGCCUCUUUGCGCAUCAUUCGGUGGAUCUCAUCUCCUUUAAUGCAAUGAUUCUUCAAUGUGCCUAUCUCUCUUCACAUCAAGGUUCAUAGAAAUACAGGCUUAGACUAUCAUUUAAUCGGGCUUGCAAGAAUUUUCAAUAUGAAGUAUUGUACCGACUGCUAGGCAACACAGGCAGAUUUUGACAAAACACACAACCACUCAUAGUUUAUGAUGUCCCUAUUACUAGAAUUUUUAAUUUAAUG
rnacentral:lncRNA from 1 species